rnacentral:rRNA from 1 species
CCUACGGGAGGCAGCAGUGAGGAAUAUUGGUCAAUGGACGAGAGUCUGAACCAGCCAAGUAGCGUGAAGGAUGACUGCCCUAUGGGUUGUAAACUUCUUUUAUAUGGGAAUAAAAUGUUCCACGUGUGGGAUUUUGUAUGUACCAUAUGAAUAAGGAUCGGCUAACUCCGUGCCAGCAGCCGCGGUAAUACGGAGGAUCCGAGCGUUAUCCGGAUUUAUUGGGUUUAAAGGGAGCGUAGGUGGCUUGUUAAGUCAGUUGUGAAAGUUUGCGGCUCAACCGUAAAAUUGCAGUUGAAACUGGCAGUCUUGAGUACAGGAGAGGUGGGCGGAAUUCGUGGUGUAGCGGUGAAAUGCUUAGAUAUCACGAAGAACUCCGAUUGCGAAGGCAGUUCACUGGACUGCAACUGACACUGAGGCUCGAAAGUGUGGGUAUCAAACAGGAUUAGAUACCCUAGUAGUC